GUGUUGGCUUUGGCAGCACAUAUAAUAAAAUAAGAAUGAUACGGAGAAGAUUAGCAUGGCUCCUGUGCAAGGAUCACGUGUGAAUUUGUGAAGAAUAUAAGAAAAAC